rnacentral:rRNA from 1 species
ACGAGCGAGAGAGAGCUUGCUUUCUCAAGCGAGUGGCGAACGGGUGAGUAACGCGUGAGGAACCUGCCUCAAAGAGGGGGACAACAGUUGGAAACGACUGCUAAUACCGCAUAAGCCCACGGGUCGGCAUCGACCAGAGGGAAAAGGAGCAAUCCGCUUUGAGAUGGCCUCGCGUCCGAUUAGCUAGUUGGUGAGGUAACGGCCCACCAAGGCAACGAUCGGUAGCCGGACUGAGAGGUUGAACGGCCACAUUGGGACUGAGACACGGCCCAGACUCCUACGGGAGGCAGCAGUGGGGAAUAUUGCACAAUGGGGGAAACCCUGAUGCAGCGACGCCGCGUGGAGGAAGAAGGUCUUCGGAUUGUAAACUCCUGUUGUUGGGGAAGAUAAUGACGGUACCCAACAAGGAAGUGACGGCUAACUACGUGCCAGCAGCCGCGGUAAAACGUAGGUCACAAGCGUUGUCCGGAAUUACUGGGUGUAAAGGGAGCGCAGGCGGGAAGACAAGUUGGAAGUGAAAUCCAUGGGCUCAACCCAUGAACUGCUUUCAAAACUGUUUUUCUUGAGUAGUGCAGAGGUAGGCGGAAUUCCCGGUGUAGCGGUGGAAUGCGUAGAUAUCGGGAGGAACACCAGUGGCGAAGGCGGCCUACUGGGCACCAACUGACGCUGAGGCUCGAAAGUGUGGGUAGCAAACAGGAUUAGAUACCC